rnacentral:rRNA from 1 species
UAGGAUUAUGACUGAACGCCUCUAAGUCAGAAUCCAUGCUGGAAAGCGACGUUAUUCGCCUCUUCCGAUGUCACUCGCAUUCGAGUAGGCCUUCGGGCUCAACAUCGUAUUUUAUCGCAAUUUUAAACAUUGGAAGAGAUAAAUCCAUUGUAGACGACUUUGUAUGAAUGGGGUAUUGUAAGCAUGAGAGUAGGCUUUGUCCUACGAUCUGCUGAGAUUAAGCCUUGGUUGU